rnacentral:rRNA from 1 species
AGGCUUAACACAUGCAAGUCGAGGGGCAGCACAGGUAGCAAUACCGGGUGGCGACCGGCGCACGGGUGAGUAACGCGUAUGCAACUUACCUAUCAGAGGGGGAUAACCCGGCGAAAGUCGGACUAAUACCGCAUGAAGCAGGGGCCCCGCAUGGGGAUAUUUGCUAAAGAUUCAUCGCUGAUAGAUAGGCAUGCGUUCCAUUAGGCAGUUGGCGGGGUAACGGCCCACCAAACCGACGAUGGAUAGGGGUUCUGAGAGGAAGGUCCCCCACAUUGGUACUGAGACACGGACCAAACUCCUACGGGAGGCAGCAGUGAGGAAUAUUGGUCAAUGGCCGAGAGGCUGAACCAGCCAAGUCGCGUGAGGGAUGAAGGUUCUAUGGAUCGUAAACCUCUUUUAUAAGGGAAUAAAGUGCGGGACGUGUCCCGUUUUGUAUGUACCUUAUGAAUAAGGAUCGGCUAACUCCGUGCCAGCAGCCGCGGUAAUACGGAGGAUCCGAGCGUUAUCCGGAUUUAUUGGGUUUAAAGGGUGCGUAGGCGGCCUUUUAAGUCAGCGGUGAAAGUCUGUGGCUCAACCAUAGAAUUGCCGUUGAAACUGGGAGGCUUGAGUAUGUUUGAGGCAGGCGGAAUGCGUGGUGUAGCGGUGAAAUGCAUAGAUAUCACGCAGAACCCCGAUUGCGAAGGCAGCCUGCCAAGCCAUUACUGACGCUGAUGCACGAAAGCGUGGGGAUCAAACAGGAUUAGAUACCCUGGUAGUCCACGCAGUAAACGAUGAUCACUAGCUGUUUGCGAUACACUGUAAGCGGCACAGCGAAAGCGUUAAGUGAUCCACCUGGGGAGUACGCCGGCAACGGUGAAACUCAAAGGAAUUGACGGGGGCCCGCACAAGCGGAGGAACAUGUGGUUUAAUUCGAUGAUACGCGAGGAACCUUACCCGGGUUUGAACGCAUUCGGACCGAGGUGGAAACACCCUUUCUAGCAAUAGCCGUUUGCGAGGUGCUGCAUGGUUGUCGUCAGCUCGUGCCGUGAGGUGUCGGCUUAAGUGCCAUAACGAGCGCAACCCUUGCCACUAGUUACUAACAGGUAAAGCUGAGGACUCUGGUGGGACUGCCAGCGUAAGCUGCGAGGAAGGCGGGGAUGACGUCAAAUCAGCACGGCCCUUACAUCCGGGGCGACACACGUGUUACAAUGGCGUGGACAAAGGGAAGCCACCUGGCGACAGGGAGCGAAUCCCCAAACCACGUCUCAGUUCGGAUCGGAGUCUGCAACCCGACUCCGUGAAGCUGGAUUCGCUAGUAAUCGCGCAUCAGCCAUGGCGCGGUGAAUACGUUCCCGGGCCUUGUACACACCGCCCGUCAAGCCAUGGGAGCCGGGGGUACCUGAAGUCCGUAACCGCGAGGAUCGGCCUAGGGUAAAACUGGUGACUGGGGCUAAGA